CUGCUGAGGAGCGUUGCGACAGGUUUUCCUGCCAGGCUCAGACAGUUGAAGGACAAUUUAAGUAACAACGGCGCUCAGUCAUC
rnacentral:ncRNA from 1 species